rnacentral:rRNA from 1 species
AACAAGGUCUCCGUUGGUGAACCAGCGGAGGGAUCAUUACCGAGUUUACAACUCCCAAACCCCUGUGAACAUACCACUUGUUGCCUCGGCGGAUCAGCCCGCUCCCGGUAAAACGGGACGGCCCGCCAGAGGACCCCUAAACUCUGUUUCUAUAUGUAACUUCUGAGUAAAACCAUAAAUAAAUCAAAACUUUCAACAACGGAUCUCUUGGUUCUGGCAUCGAUGAAGAACGCAGCAAAAUGCGAUAAGUAAUGUGAAUUGCAGAAUUCAGUGAAUCAUCGAAUCUUUGAACGCACAUUGCGCCCGCCAGUAUUCUGGCGGGCAUGCCUGUUCGAGCGUCAUUUCAACCCUCAAGCACAGCUUGGUGUUGGGACUCGCGUUAAUUCGCGUUCCCCAAAUUGAUUGGCGGUCACGUCGAGCUUCCAUAGCGUAGUAGUAAAACCCUCGUUACUGGCAAUCGUCGCGGCCACGCCGUUAAACCCCAACUUCUGAAUGUUGACCUCGGAUCAGGUAGGAAUACCCGCUGAACUUAAGCAUAUAACAAGG